CCCUUAGAUGUCCUGGGCCGCACGCGUGCUACACUGAGUGGAUCAGCGGGUCAGGUUGCGCGAAAGCGUUUCCUAAUCUUUAAAUCCGCUCGUGAUGGGGAUUGACGGUUGCAAUUUUCUGUCAUGAACGAGGAAUACCUUGUAAGCGCGGGUCAUCAUCCCGCGCUGAAUACGUCCCUGCCCUUUGUACACACCGCCCGUCGCUCCUACCGAUUGAGUGGUCCGGUGAGGCUUUGGGAUCUGAGCGGAAAGAGCGUUUCGCUGUUUCUGCUCGGAAAACUCAGUCGAACCUUAUCACUUAGAGGAAGGAGAAGUCGUAACA
rnacentral:rRNA from 1 species